UACGAAGGGGGCGAGCGUUGCUCGGAUUGACUGGGCGUAAAGGGCGCGUAGGCGGUUCGUACAGUCAGACGUGAAAUUCCUGGGCUCAACCUGGGGGCUGCGUUUGAUACGUGCGGACUUGAGUGCGGAAGAGGGUCGUGGAAUUCCCAGUGUAGAGGUGAAAUUCGUAGAUAUUGGGAAGAACACCGGUGGCGAAGGCGGCGACCUGGACUGUGAUUGACGCUGAGGCGCGAAAGCGUGGGGAGCAAACAGG
rnacentral:rRNA from 1 species